rnacentral:lncRNA from 1 species
AUGAAGUGGGGGGAGCACCGGGCGCGGUGGAAAGGUAGCAGGGACACAGGUGAGCAGGACCCAUGGAGGCCUGCGCAGGAGGAAAGAGAAGCGCGCCCGACCCGCAGGCCGCAGACAGAGCGGAGCGGCCAUCGCCCCUUGUCGCGGCGCGUGGUUGCAAAGACAGAGGGGCGAGAGGCCUCUGCUCUCUUCUUCCGCCCCGGGAGGGGAAACCGUAAUAUGAAGCCCCGUUUUGCUAGAUCCAGGAAUCAUAACAUAACUUCCAUGUGUUGAGAAAGGAUGACCUUUUCCUGUCAUUUUCAAGGGUUCUGUCCCCUGAAUAUUUAAGAAUAGAUGACCCUCAAAACUUUCCACCAGGCCUGAGCUGUCUCCGAUGUGGAAGCUGCACAGAGCCCCUGCGAAGAGCCCACGAUGAAUCUUCCACAAGGCUCAGGAAGAUCCAGGGAGCAGGCUGGCCAGGGGAGAUGCGCAGGCACAGCUCCUCCUGAGCAAGCGGCACAUGGCGCCAACCUGUGAGCCAGGCCAGCCUCAGCCCUGUCCCUUGCAGUGCCUCUGCACCUUGACCUCCAGCUCUCCAAAGUGCGCAGAAAAACAUCGCCCGCUGAGGCUUCCUGUUGUUCUUUAGCAAAGCGAGACAUUCGCCUGCUUUCUUCCCUUUUCUCCAAACAGGCUUGUGUUUAGAAGUUAGUUAAAGUAUUAAAAGUAAAAGUUUAACUCUUUCGCCUUCCCAAAGACAUUCUUCUAGAAUUGACACACACAAACAUCUUGGUAACAAUUCGAUAAGGUAAAAUGAAUUUCCUUUGGAACUGAGAAUUCAAUAAGAUGAUCAGGAGCCAGCCCCGUGGCCGAGUGGUUAAGUUCAUGCAUUUCACUUCGGUGGCCCAGGGUUUCACCAGUUCGAAUCCUGGGCGCAAACAUGGCACCACUCAUCAGGCCACGCUGAGGCCGCGUCCCACAUGCCAUGACUAGAAGGACCCACAACUAAAAAUACACAACUAUGUACUGGGGGGCUUUGGGGAGAAAAAGGAAAAAUAAAAUCUUUAAAAAAAAAAAAAAAAGAUGAUCA